CUUUAGUAGUGAGAGAUAGGCAGCAGAUAAACACACUUAGCAGCAUUACGAGUGGUGAAAUACAGAAAUAUAUACCCCUGCCCGUGUGUAGUAAUAGCGAAACACUGCUGCUAAACAGGGAUUAGAGACCCCUUUAUACAAGUGCUCAUUUUAUUUUGCGGAGUACUAAGACUUUCAUAGUUAAAACUUAAACAACAUGGCGGUAACUUUAACUUAGGGGAACUUACCUAAUAAAUGAUAACCACCAAGGUAAAACAACUGUAUAAAAAUCUUGUAUGCCGUCGUCGUCAGGUAGUGCUUGAUGUCCUACCACGAAAGAUAACUUAAAAGACAGAUCAAGGUGCAGACAAUUCUACAGAUAGGGCGAGUUACAAUUUUAACUACUAACGGAUAGACUACGUAAUUAACAUCUGAAGACGGACUUAACAGUAAUAAAAACUACCAUUAUUUUAUGAACUCUUGGAAGUUGUGCACAA
rnacentral:rRNA from 1 species